GGGCAUAUGAAAGUUCCCAGGCUAGGGGUCAAAUUACUGCUGCAGGUGCCAGCCUACACCACAGCCACAGCAAUACAGGAUCCGAGCUGCUUCUGUGACCUACACCACAGCUCAUGGCAACGCCGGAUCCUUAAGCCACUGAGCGAGGCCAGGGAUCAAACCCUCAUUCUCGUGGAUAUUGGUUGGGUUUGUUACCACUGAGCCAAAACGAGAACAGCACCAGGUGAUUUUAAUGGACAGCCAGCUCUACAAACCACUCUGUACCAAACAUACUUGUUAUUGAAAGGUUUAUGCAUAACAUUAAAAACAUUUUUAUGACCAUAGUGACUUGGGAGAGUCUUUGGCCUGAAUACCAAAAAGGUAAGUUUCUCAGCCUCCGCGAAAGAUCAGCCCUGGGAGGGGCGGGGGAGGUUCACCAAGGUCACCUGCACCUCAGGGAGGAGGUGAAGGAAGGUGAAGUGAUGUCCCCUUAGAACACAAGAUAGAAGUAUAAUAAUACAGGCGAGCUGGUGUGCUUCCUCUGGCGCAAGCUCUGAGGACUGAACUGCUGCCCCCAUUCCCCCGUCAUCUCCCUCCUUCUCAUCCCAUCCUUCCCACAGCUUCCUGCCCCUUGGCCUUGUUUCUGGUCUUCAGUGCUAAACUCUUCCAGUUUAAAGUGUUCCAUAUAGUGCCUGGAGCCUGGAGAGAAAAGGUGCCAAGAAAAUCUUAAUAAACAAAUAAAUUAUUCAUACUAGGUAUUGGAAUAUUCUCUGCACCACUGGGUUUCAAACAUUUCUUAGAAGCAGACUCUCACCCAUAAGGUCAAACAAAUAAAACCCAUGAAACGAGAAGCAUAGGGGUUAAAGCUGGGGUGGAGGUCUGGAACCUCAGGGGUUCAUCUACCCCCUGCCACCACCAGGAGGGAAGCCCUGGGGCACCCUUGCACCCUGCCAGGGGCCCUAUGUGGCACAGAUGGAAAACUUCCCCAACACAGGGCUCACAGUGGUACUGUGGAUUUAUGAGAUGAUGAGAUUUAAGUCUCCCAAGACUAUUAAAAAAAAAAUAAUUAAUUAAUUAAAAAAACAGGAGUUCCUGUCAUGCCACGUUGCUGUGGUUCUGAUGUAGGCUGGCAGCUAUAGCUCCGAUUAGACCCCUAGCCUGGGAACCUCCAUAUGCCAAGGGAGCAACCCAAGAAAUGGCAAAAAGACAAAAAACAAACAAACAAACAAACAAAAACCCCUCUCUCCUCUCAGCAACCAGGGCAAACUCCCUCGCACAUGUGCAUGCUUACCUGGGACUCUGCUCUCUCUUCCCUGAAGACUCAGGGUCCCUACAUACUCUGUCCAUUCAGAAGGAAGGAGUAAUGGAGACCAAUUAGACGGGAGAAGACCCAGCUCAGCCACACUUCGUGCCUAGAAGCAUCCAUGGGUCUUGGCAGCUAAAAGAGGCUACUUCUUCCUGGUAGAGGAAACACUAAAAUCCGCCUUCGGGUUGAUUCUUCAAUCUAUGUGGCUGUCAGUGACAAGCAUUCUUCCUGCAGCUCAAACUAGUUUUGCAGCUACAACUAUUGGUUCAAGUGGCCAAAUUUGCCAAAAAUAUCAGAUUGACUAUUUUUAAGGAUUUUCAUAAUGCAGAUGAAGUCAGGAUGACAACAGAAUCUGGGUUGAUUUCUUUGCUUGCCUGCUUAAUUAUUUCUUUUACCCUCCCAUGUGCUUCUGAAUCAAUUUCCCUUGAUUCUGCUCCAAAGAAAUUCUGGCUUUCCUUAAAGACUAGGUCUGAACAUCUAGAAGGAAAGGACGCAGGGAUAGACAAAUAAAAUCUCUUCAGAUUUGCAUUUGGAGUUCCCUAUCAAACCCUUUUGUUUGGUCUUCCAGUCUCCAUGAGGCAAGCGCCAUUCUCCCCAUCUUACAGAUGAGACAACUGAGGCUGAGAAAGGCUAGGUGACUUGCUCAGGACCACACAGUCUGUGUUUCCUGGAGCUUGAAUCCAGGGCUUGUAUGUUUAAAUGCCAUGCUUUUACUCACCACAAAACUCCUGCCUUAAGAUUCCAGGUGUCCGUCAUUAAACUGUACUGACAUGAGUCAGAAAUCAUCACAAAACGUUUAAUUCAGCAGGUCUGGUCCCGAUGGUGGUGUCAUUUCUCCCCAGUAGAAUCUUAGCACCACCCCCAAUUCCUCUUUUGACAAAUUUGCACGUUAAUUGGGAGUGAGAUAGGUAUUGGUGUGGGCAAGAAUAAUAGGCCAUGAACAAUUUUCAAAAGGCCACUUACUUUGUCUUUAAUGUUUCAAACUCAAGUCUGUCUGCCAUCGUUUUUCCCCACCUCUUGCUCCAAAGUCUUUUUGAUCACCCCCCUCUAACUGUUUUAGCCCUCCCUUGCCCUUCUCCUCUGUCUUAAAAUCAAACAGCCAUGGAGUUUGUUCAGAUUCCCUAUUCAUCAAGGAAAUGAAUUCCAUAUGCAUAAUUCAUUUCUUUUGUGAACUUUUUUCCCUGCAGGGAGUUAAUGCUCCCCAGUGCAUUGGGAACAGAGACAGUGACAGAAGGACGAGAGAGCAAGGGGGCAAAAAUGCCUUUCCCCGUGUAACCGGGACAGAUAGGGGCCAAGAGGUCUGGGCUCUGCUGGCUGACACCUUGAGCUCCACAAUUCUAUCUCACCAAAAGGAGGGGGCAGCCUGUGCUGGUUAUUAGGGGACAAUAGGCUUCAUCUUCAAGGGUGAGUACCUCUUGGAGCCCAGAGGCCUUGAGAGGCUGGAGUCGUUCCUUCCAACCCCAGUGGCUGAUUCACGGGUGGAAAGAAAUCGAUGGCGUCCUCCCACCUCUUUAUGGCUCUGCUCAUAUUAAAAACCCCAAACUAAACAAAGAGAUAUACACCGUGCCCAAUGCACCAUGUUUAACAGCUGUUGCAUUUGGAGAAAAAGCAGUCCCUCGUCCAAAGUCAGAUUUGAAAAACGGCUUUAUUAAGAGCAAGAUUUACUGUAUAUGAACUCCAAGCCUAGAAAGUAGAGGAGGAGCAGCUGAGAAAGACAGAUCUGCCAGACAGGGAGCCCAACUGACUCCACUGGCUGAUGUUACCUUUUGGCAACAUACACAGACCCACACGACAUCCUGGAAGCUACAGGACUCUGAUUAUUAACUCUUUAAUAACAGCCGAGGGUCCCCAAAGUUCUGAGCUGGGUUGAUAAAUGGCAGAACAGACUUUAAACCCAAGAUUGAGCUUUUAUUCUAGCAUGAUAUAUUUCAGGGAAUUUAUGUCCCUUAGCAUCUUAAUUAAAAAAAAUUUUUUUCAAAAAUCCAUCUUUUUUUUUUGCUUCUUCCUUCCUCCAUCUGCAUAAGAAAAAGAUGAGAG
rnacentral:lncRNA from 1 species